GUGAGAGUAAGAUCUUGCGGUUCAAGUCCAACAGUACGAUGUCUAACCGUAUCAAAGUGACCUGGCAGCGCUACAGACCCCCAGACUAUAGAGACCUCAUCUCAUUCAUACUAUACUACAAGGAGGCUCUGCCAGGGGUGGAGGGUUAUCCUGGAGGGGUUAGGGGUGGAGGGGGUCUACUGUCAGGGGUCUAUAUCCCUGGACCCAUCAGUGCCUCUACUGUCUCUGCCAUCUACGUCAAGGCCAUCCUCUGGUGGGAUAGACACAUCCUGGGAGCCAAGAGAAGUAGCCUCAGAACCAGCCCCCUCAGUGGAGGGGUUCUACUGUCACCUCUCAAGCCCUGGACCCAGUAUGCCAUCUACGUCAAGGCCAUCACUCUGGUGGCAGAGGAUAGACACAUCCUGGGAGCCAAGAGUGAAGUAGUCUACAUCAGAACCAGCCCCUCAGGUAAAGGACAGGGGUGGAGGGGUUAUGCCAUCUACGUCAAGGCCAUCACUCUGGUGGCAGAGGAUAGACACAUCCUGGGAGCCAAGAGUGAAGUAGUCUACAUCAGAACCAGCCCCUCAGGCCAUCACCUGGUGGCAGAGGAUAGACACAUCCUGGGAGCCAAGAGUGAAGUAGUCUACAUCAGAACCAGCCCCUCAGCCAUCACUCUGGUGGCAGAGGAUAGACACAUCCUGGGAGCCAAGAGUGAAGUAGUCUACAUCAGAACCAGCCCCUCAGAGCCGUCCAUGCCCCUGGAUGUGAGAACAUACUCUAACUCCUCUACCAACCUGGUGGUCCGCUGGUCUCCCCUGCCUCCCCAACGGGAACCACACCUAUUACCUGGUCCGCUGGCAGCAACAGGCUGAAGACCGAGAGCUAUACCAACACAACUACUGCUCCUCAGAACUGAAGAUCCCGGUCCGUAUAGCUGCUACCGGGUUGACUGACAUGGAGGAGGACCUGAAGCCUACUAAACCAGACGUUGGUGGGGGACAAGGGGCCGUGCUGUCCCUGUCCUAAAUCUGUAGGAGACCUGGUAGGCAGAGGCAGCUGACGCUUCAUACAGAAAAGUCUUUGAGAACUUUUUACACAACUCUAUCUUUUACCCCCAGACCUCCAGACCGGCGCCCCGGGAGUCUAGGUUUGAGCGUGGCCAACCAGGUUUGACCAUCCACCGUGGUGUGACCACCUACCCUAACGCCACGUCACCUGACCUUUGGGCCAACGCUACAGAGGCGGAGUUAGCGUUUGACAGGGAGUAUGAAGCAGGUUUGGGCAGUCAGCCUAUGAGCUGCAGAUAUCCGGUCUGCAGCCGUUCACGGUUUACAGGAUCCUAUGAACGCCUGUAACCAACAGGUGAAAUGCAGCGGCAGAGUUCGGUCUAAUCUUCUCCAGGACCAAACCUGCAGAGAAGGCGGAUGACAUCCCAGGCCCAGUGAUCUGGACUGGAGAGGAUGAUUCUGUGUUCCUCCGCUGGCCUGAACCCUCGUCCCCCAACGCACUCAUCCUCAUGUAUGAGAUCAAGUUCAGACUGGGCACUGAGUCAGAGAAGCAUGAGUGUGUGUCUCGCCAGCUGUAUCGAGAGCAGCAUGGUGCCAGGCUCAGUAACCUUGGACCUGGUAACUACUCUGCCCGGGUCAGAGCCACCUCCCUGGCUGGCAACGGAUCCUGGACUGAACCCAUCUCCUUCUACGUGGUACAGGCCCAACGUAAGAUCUCAUCAUCACCCACUAUUCAACACUACAUAACUACGUCUCUCAUGGGGGAAUUCACUUUCACCAUCACAACAGGAAGAAGUAAUGACAGACUGGGGAAUGGAGUUCUGUAUCACCUGAUAGAGACAGACAGGAAUUGUCUGUUAACCCUCUCCUCUCCUCCAGUGUAUAUACCAGAUGAAUGGGAGGUGUUGAGGGAGAAGAUCACGAUGAACAGAGAGCUGGGUCAGGGGUCGUUUGGCAUGGUGUACGAGGGCGUUGCUAAGGGAGUAGUCAAGGACGAGCCAGAGACGUGUGUGGCCAUUAAGACGGUGAACGAGUCUGCCAGCAUGAGAGAGAGAAUAGAGUUCCUCAAUGAAGCUUCUGUCAUGAAGGAGUUCAACUGUCAUCACGUGGUGCGUCUGCUGGGUGUGGUUUCUCAGGGCCAGCCCACCUUGGUCAUCAUGGAGCUGAUGACUAAAGGAGAUCUGAAGAGCCACCUGAGGUCACUACGGGCUAAAGAUCCAUCCCAGUCCUACAGUCUCAACCUCCCUCCUCUGAAGAAGAUUAUUCAGAUGGCUGGGGAGAUAGCUGACGGGAUGUCUUAUCUCAACGCUAACAAGUUUGUCCACAGAGACCUGGCCGCCAGGAACUGUAUGGUGGCAGACGACUACACCGUCAAGAUAGGUGAUUUCGGUAUGACCAGAGACAUCUAUGAGACAGACUACUACCGUAAAGGAGGAAAGGGGUUGCUGCCGGUCCGAUGGAUGUCCCCCGAGUCCCUUAAAGAUGGAGUGUUCACCACCACCUCUGAUGUCUGGUCUUUUGGGGUGGUGUUAUGGGAGAUAGCCACACUAGCAGAGCAGCCCUACCAGGGGAUGUCCAAUGAGCAGGUGCUGCGCUUCGUUAUGGACGGAGGACUGCUAGACAAACCAGACAACUGCCCAGACAUGCUGUUUGAGUUAAUGCGUUUGUGUUGGCAGUACAACCCUAAGAUGCGUCCGUCGUUUCUGGAGAUCAUUAACAGCAUCAAGGAGGAGCUGGAGCCACCGUUCAGAGAGAUGAGUUUCUUUUACAGCGAAGAGAACAAGCUUCCAGACACAGAGGAGUUAGACAUGGAGGUAGAGAACAUGAAGAAUGUUCCUUUAGGCCCAGCUGCCUCUUCACGGCCCCCAUCCCCUGCCCCCCCACCAGCUCCGGGUCCGCCCUGCCCAACCAGCCCCCUCCUCCCCCCUCCCCAACAGACAUCAGCCUCCACGGCCCCUGACGGUCCAUUAACGCUGGGCUCCACCCCCCCUUCAGCCCCGUCCUCUGGGCAGGUUCAGCCCCAGGCUCCCUCGUCCCCCUGCUCCCCAGCCCUCGGGGCCACCAGCCAGGCCUGCUGCUCCCGAGUGGCCCCUGGCCCCUCCUCAGCCCAGAGCUCAGGGGCUUCAGGACAGGUGGAGUCCAACGGCCCCGAGGCGGUCGCCCAGGUCCUGCUGCGACCAGCCUUCAAUGACUCACCGCCCUACGCACACAUGAACGGAGUGAGGAAGAAGGAACGUGCCAUGCCCCUCCCACAGUCCUCGGCCUGCUGAUCCUAGUGGACCUCUCUCCAUCCCUCAUCCCUCUUUUCUAAAGAGCUUGGUGGACUCCUCUGUGGUGGGACUCCUCUGUGGUGGGACUCCUCUGUGGUGGGACUCCUCUGUGGUGGGACUCCUCUGUGGUGGGACUCCUACUUUUUCAUUUUGUUAUUGUAUUGACAUUUCUAUCAACUGCCUGAUAUAAAGCACCUCCUGCUGAGGCCUGCUGGGAGGACCCUGAACCACAACCUGAACAACAGUGUUUUUUACAUAUAUUCCUUUAGGCCCAGCUACCUUUAUAUAUAAAACGCAAGUCCGUUGUUCAGGAAGGUUUCUGCUACCAGUCAAAAGUUUGGACACACCUACUCAUUCAAGGGUUUUUCUUAAUGUUUACUAUUUUCUACAUUGUAGAAUAAUAGUGAAGACAUCAAAACCAAAAAAAAGCCUAAAAAAGUGUUAAGCAAAUCAAAAUAUAUUUGAGAUUCUUCAAAGUAGCCACCCUUUGCCUUGAUGACAGCUUUGCACUCUUGGCAUUCUCUCAACCAGCUUCACGAGGAAUGCUUUUCCAACAGUCUUGGAAGGAGUUCCCACAUAUGCUGAGCACUUGUUGGCUGCUUUUCCUUCACUCUGUGGUCCAACUCAUCCCAAACCAUCUCAAUUGGGUUGAGGUCGGGUGAUUGUGGAGGCCAGGUCAUCUGAUGCAGCACUCCAUCACUCUCCUUCUUGGUCAAAUAGUCCUUACGCAGCCUGGAGGUGUGUUGGGUCAUUGUCCUGAUGAAAAACAAAUGAUGGUCCCACUAAGCCCAAACCAGAUGGGAUGGUGUAUCGCUGCAGAAUACAUCACACCACCUCCUCCAUGCUUCACGGUGGGAACCACACACCAUCACACCACCUCCAUGCUUCACGGUGGGAACCACACAUGCGGAGAUCAUCCGUUCACCUACUCUGCAUCGCACAAAGACACGGCCGUUGGAACCAAAAUUCUCAAAUUUGGACUCAUCAGACCAAAGGACAGAUUUCCACCGGUCUAAUGUCCAUUGGUCGUGAUUCUUGGCCCAAGCAAGUCUCUUCCUCCUAUUGGUGUCCUUUUGUAGUGGUUUCAGCAAUUCGACCAUGAAGUCCUGAUUCACAGUCUCCUCUAAACAGUUGAUGUUGAGAUGUGUCUGUUAGUGAGGCUGGUAACUCUAAUGAACUUAUCCUCUGCAGCUGAGGUAACUCUGGGUCUUCCUUUCCUGUGGCGGUCCUCAUGAUAACCAAAUUCAUCAUAGCGCUUGAUGGUUUUUGUGACUGCACUUGAAGAAACUUUCAAAGUUUUGAAAUGUUCCAUAUUGACUGACCUUCAUGCCUUAAAUUAAUGAUGGACUGUCGUUUCUCUUUGCUUAUUUGAGCUGUUCUUGCCAUAAUAUGGACUUGGUGUUUUACCAAAUAGGGCUAUCUUCUGUAUACCAACCCUACCUUGUCACAACACAACUGAUUGGCUCAAACACACAACUGAUUGGCUCAAACACACAACUGAUUGGAUCAAACACACAACUGAUUGGCUCAAAUGCAUUAAGAAGGAAAGAAAUUCCACAAAAAUAACUUUUGACAAGGCACACCUGUUAAUAGAAGUGCAUUCCAGGUGAUUACCUCAUGAAGCUGGUUGAGAGAAUGCAAAGCUGCCAUCAAGGCAAAAGGGUGGCUAUUUGAAGAAUCUCAAAAUGAAAAUAUAUUUUGAACUCUUUCUCUUUUUUGGGUUACGACAUGAUUCCAUAGUUUAGAUUUCUUCACUAUUAUUCUACAAUGUAGAAAAUAGUAAAAAUAAAGAAAAACCCUGGAAUGAGUAGGUGUUCUAAACUUUAUACAGGUACUGAGAUGGUACACUAUAUAUACAGUGUGUUUUCUAUUAGUUUUUCUAAAUAUCCCCAAAUGGAGACAGCCUUUCAGAGUGAUGGUUGGUUGGUUGGUUGGCUCACUGUGUAAUAUUGGGGGGCAUUAUUAUUAUUGUGAAUGUUAAAUGUUAAAUCUUCUGUCUGGAAGCCACGUCAACGGUCAAGCGCUGUCUGUCUCUGUGUCUGUGUUGUAUAACAGUGGAUGGACAGACAUGAUCCUCUCUGUUGGACUGGGACAAGAUGGUCUCCACUGAUGAUGAGUUGUCUGGUGUGAACUACAUCUUCUCCCUUUGUCUUGUCUGUGAUUGACAGGAAUCAUUCUGACACUAGUGUAAACUACGU